UGGGGAAUAUUGCACAAUGGGCGCAAGCCUGAUGCAGCCAUGCCGCGUGUAUGAAGAAGGCCUUCGGGUUGUAAAGUACUUUCAGCGGGGAGGAAGGCGAUAAGGUUAAUAACCUUGUCGAUUGACGUUACCCGCAGAAGAAGCACCGGCUAACUCCGUGCCAGCAGCCGCGGUAAUACGGAGGGGGCAAGCGUUAAUCGGAAUUCCUGGGCGUAAAGCGCACGCAGGCGGUCUGUCAAGUCGGAUGUGAAAUCCCCGGGCUCAACCUGGGAACUGCAUUCGAAACUGGCAGGCUAGAGUCUUGUAGAGGGGGGUAGAAUUCCAGGUGUAGCGGUGAAAUGCGUAGAGAUCUGGAGGAAUACCGGUGGCGAAGGCGGCCCCCUGGACAAAGACUGACGCUCAGGUGCGAAAGCGUGGGGAGCAAACA
rnacentral:rRNA from 1 species